GUACAAUUUGCGCGUACAUACCUCCACGUCCGAUCUCACGCGAUUCGAUACAUAAAAUGUCGCGCCUUUCGCGAAUUUUCCGAAUUGUCACCUUCGACCUCUUAACGAAAACUUCGCAAUUACCAGAGAUCCGUCCGUCGGAUUUUCGAUCCGACAGCACCAUUGCGUUCAGCACGACGAGGACAUCGAAACUACGAUUUCGUUUCAUCCGAUUUACUUGCCGAUUUGCGACAAAAUCCAACCUCUCUCCAACUAAUCCAGAUAUCAUACAUAGGCCUUGGUGGAAACCUGAAAUCCUUUAAUUCAAA
rnacentral:lncRNA from 1 species